GUGAACGUGUCAUGUGUUGGAAAGGUGGCACGACCGAAGUCCAUGGGGACAGAAGCUCCCGUGCUCACGCCCUCUGGAGCUUGCCCUACAUGCAAGAUCUUCAUCUGGCUGUUCAUGUGUUUAUUCUAUCAAGUCCUUUGUCAUAAACUGGUAAAUAGGCUCUCCAGGCAUCAGCUUCACAGAGAGAAUCUUGAUGCCCAACAAGGACAGCAUUUUCAGAGAUGUACCCUUACAAGGGGUCCCCAUACAAGAUUGAAAUGAUAAAGAACUGAAGAUCCAAAGCCAGAGAAUGAUAAAGUAACUUCAACCUGACACAGUAAAACAUUGCAGGGAGAGUCCGGGAUCUGGAAUGAGAAUGCCACGUCCAGGCUGUGUUACCUUACAAAAAUUAUUAAUGCUUCAGUGGCCUCAUCUGCAGAAUGGAAAUACCAAUAAUAGUAGCUAUCUGAUAAGGUUAUUGUGGGGAUAGUAGGAGACAAUCCAUAAUAAUGUUUGAGUAGUAGCUGGCACAUUGUAGAUACUCAACAUACGCCAGCUAUUAUUGUUAUAGAAAAUAUGCAGAUCUGGAAUAGCUUGGAAAAUGUUUAUGAUACAAUAACAAAUUCAAAAGAAGUCUACUAAAUACUGUGUAUUUUAUGAUUGCAAUUUUGUAAAAACUAUAUCUGCUUAUGGAAAAAGAUUUGAAGAAAAUAUGCUUAUGUGAAAAGAAUUUCUUACAGUGAUGGGAUUACGUGUAGCUUUAUUUAUUUAUUUGAGACCAGGUCUCACUCUGUUGCCCAGGCUGCAAUACAGUGGUGUGACACCAGCUCCCUGAAACUCCUGGGCUCAAGUGAUCCUCCUGCCUCAGCCUCUUGAAUAACUGGGACUACAGGCAUGUGCCACCAUGCCCGGCUAAUAUUUAAUUUUUUUGUGGAGACAGAGUCUCCCUAUGCUGCCAUGCUGGUCUUGAACUCCUGGGCUCAAGCGAUCCUCCAG
rnacentral:lncRNA from 10 species